GAAAAGAACGAAAAAGAAAAAUACAAGAGGGAAUAACAAUCCAUAUUAAAUAACUGAAGUUAGAUGCUUGUUGUAUAUGCAGGUAAACAGAGUGAAAAAUGGAAAUUGGUGGGUGAUUGAGAAUGAAUCGGCAUGCAUGUGAGGAGCUAAGACAAUGAAGCAACCCAUACAAGUGGAAUUGUCGCAAAAGCGACUGUGAAGCAACUCAAUCAUGGAUUCAAAGUUGUAUAUACAGGAUAUUAGAGCACUUUUCCCUUCAGACUACAACCCAUUUUAUGCAGGCUUUGGAAACAGAGACACCAAUGAUCUCAGUUACAGGAAGAUGGGGAUCCCGAAAGGCUAAAUAUUCAUUAUCAAUCCUAAGGUAUCAUUUCCAUCCUAAGCCAGGAAAAAAAAAAUCUGUUUUUGGCCCAUCUAAAUUCUCUCCCUAAAACUGGGGCAGGGUGAGGUGGCUGUUAAUCAUCACUGCAUUGAUGUGAAGUCGUAUACCUCGCUACACACACUGGUCCAUGACAUGUUUCCCCCCACUUCAUUGGCUGAGCAGGAGGAUUUUAACUAUUGGAAUUUCUGGAAGAUGCCCAUACCAGACAUGGACUGCUGAGCCAUGAUGGUAUGAUGCAUAUAGGCUGCUUCUCUUCUACAAUCCAUUUACAACCCAUUGAUCAGAGGCUUUGACUCCUGGCGGAAUCAAUAGAGCUCAUGAUGCUUCUCGCUACUUGUCAGCUGUUGGAGGAUAUGUAUGGUGGAGUUGUUGAUUCGAUUUUCUGGUUAGUCUCAGAAGCUGUUGUAAUUUGUAAACCAUUGAUUCUUUUAUUUAGGAAGCUACAUUUUUUUGUUGGUAUUGUGUUUUUAUGAAUAAAUUAAAAUGAAUGAUUGUAUUUGAUUGAUUGAAUGAAUGACUAUGCACAGG